GGUUUGAUAGUGUAAAGGUGAUCGUGUUUGCCUUACAUGCAGAAAGUCCGGGUUUCAAGACCCAGUGGAACCA
rfam:Alligator mississippiensis ScZkoYb_56, whole genome shotgun sequence.